rnacentral:rRNA from 1 species
AACGAACGCUGGCGGCAUGCCUAACACAUGCAAGUCGAACGAAGGCUUCGGCCUUAGUGGCGCACGGGUGCGUAACGCGUGGGAAUCUACCCUUAGGUUCGGAAUAACAGUUAGAAAUGACUGCUAAUACCGGAUGAUGACGUAAGUCCAAAGAUUUAUCGCCUAAGGAUGAGCCCGCGUAGGAUUAGCUUGUUGGUGAGGUAAAGGCUCACCAAGGCGACGAUCCUUAGCUGGUCUGAGAGGAUGAUCAGCCACACUGGGACUGAGACACGGCCCAGACUCCUACGGGAGGCAGCAGUGGGGAAUAUUGGACAAUGGGCGAAAGCCUGAUCCAGCAAUGCCGCGUGAGUGAUGAAGGCCUUAGGGUUGUAAAGCUCUUUUACCCGGGAUGAUAAUGACAGUACCGGGAGAAUAAGCUCCGGCUAACUCCGUGCCAGCAGCCGCG